AGUGAACGCUGGCGGUAGGCCUAUCACAUGCAAGUCGAACGGCAGCACAGUAAGAGCUUGCUCUUACGGGUGGCGAGUGGCGGACGGGUGAGGAAUACAUCGGAAUCUACUUUUUCGUGGGGGAUAACGUAGGGAAACUUACGCUAAUACCGCAUACGACCUACGGGUGAAAGCAGGGGAUCUUCGGACCUUGCGCGAUUGAAUGAGCCGAUGUCGGAUUAGCUAGUUGGCGGGGUAAAGGCCCACCAAGGCGACGAUCCGUAGCUGGUCUGAGAGGAUGAUCAGCCACACUGGAACUGAGACACGGUCCAGACUCCUACGGGAGGCAGCAGUGGGGAAUAUUGGACAAUGGGCGCAAGCCUGAUCCAGCCAUACCGCGUGGGUGAAGAAGGCCUUCGGGUUGUAAAGCCCUUUUGUUGGGAAAGAAAAGCAGCAGGCUAAUACCCCGCUGUUCUGACGGUACCCAAAGAAUAAGCACCGGCUAACUUCGUG
rnacentral:rRNA from 1 species